GCAAUUGGUUGCUCAUGAGUAUUUGUGUUUUGAAAAACAAGACUCUUCGUUGUGAAUUAUAGUAUAAAAUAUUAAUUCACAGCUUAGAAUACACUUAGUUGUGAGUUACAUAGCCAAUAAUCACUAGACACUAGUUAACAUUUCAAAAAAAAAAAAAUAAAUCACUACUCCCUUCGUCCCACUAUAAGUGAAUUGUAUUCCAUUUUGCGACGUCCCACUAUCAGCGAUCUGUUUCCACAAAUGGAAAAAUUUAAUCUUUAAAAAAAUAUAGGC
rnacentral:lncRNA from 1 species